rnacentral:rRNA from 1 species
AUACGUAGGGUGCGAGCGUUGUCCGGAAUUACUGGGCGUAAAGAGCUCGUAGGUGGUUUGUCGCGUCGUCUGUGAGAUUCCGGGGCUUAACUCCGGGCGUGCAGGCGAUACGGGCAUAACUUGAGUACUGUAGGGGAGACUGGAAUUCCUGGUGUAGCGGUGAAAUGCGCAGAUAUCAGGAGGAACACCGGUGGCGAAGGGGGGUCUCAGGGAAGUAACUGACGCUGAGGAGCGAAAGCAUGGGUAGCGAACAGGAUUAGAUACCCUGGUAGUCCAUGCCGUAAACGGUGGGCGCUAGGUGUAGGGGUCUUCCACGACUUCUGUGCCGUAGCUAACGCAUUAAGCGCCCCGCCGGGGGAGUACGGCCGCAAGGCUAAAACUCAAAUGAAUUGACGGGG